rnacentral:rRNA from 1 species
GACGAACGCUGGCGGCGUGCUUAACACAUGCAAGUCGAACGAAGUGGCGAACGGGUGAGUAACGCGUAAUCAACCUGCCCUUCAGAGGGUGACAACAGUUGGAAACGACUGCUAAUACCGCAUACUGAAGGAGGGGAGUGCGUCGGAUUAGCUAGUUGGAGGGGUAACGGGCCACCAAGGCGAUGAUCAGUAGCCGGUCUGAGAGGAAGAACGGCCACAUUGGGACUUGGGAACGGCCCAGAAUCCCAAGGGGGGGAGCAUGGGGGAAACUUCCGCAAUGGACGAAAGUCUGACGGAGGAACGGCGCGUGAGUGAUGACGGCCUUCGGGUUGUAAAGCUCUGUUAAUCGGGACGCGGUACCGGAAUAGAAAGCCACGGCUAACUACGUGCCAGCAGCCGCGGUAAUUC